rnacentral:rRNA from 1 species
CACAUNCAAGUCGAACGAAGCAAUUUAUUACGAUCCUUUCGGGGUGACGAUUUAUUGACUGAGUGGCGGACGGGUGAGUAACGCGUGGGUAACCUACCUUAUACAGGGGGAUAACAGUUGGAAACGACUGCUAAUACCGCAUAAGCGCACAGCUUUGCAUGAAGCGGUGUGAAAAGAUUUAUCGGUAUAAGAUGGAC